GGCGCAAGCCUGAUGCAGCGACGCCGCGUGAGGGAUGAAGGCCUUCGGGUUGUAAACCUCUUUCAGCAGGGAAGAAGCGUAAGUGACGGUACCUGCAGAAGAAGCGCCGGCUAACUACGUGCCAGCAGCCGCGGUAAUACGUAGGGCGCAAGCGUUGUCCGGAAUUAUUGGGCGUAAAGAGCUCGUAGGCGGUCUGUCGCGUCUGGUGUGAAAACCCAUGGCUCAACCAUGGGCUUGCAUCGGGUACGGGCAGACUAGAGUGCGGUAGGGGAGACUGGAAUUCCUGGUGUAGCGGUGGAAUGCGCAGAUAUCAGGAGGAACACCGAUGGCGAAGGCAGGUCUCUGGGCCGCAACUGACGCUGAGGAGCGAAAGCAUGGGGAGCGAACAGGAUUAGAUACCCUGGUAGUCCAUGCCGUAAACGUUGGGCACUAGGUGUGGGGCUCAUUCCACGAGUUCCGUGCCGCAGCAAACGCAUUAAGUGCCCCGCCUGGGGAGUACG
rnacentral:rRNA from 1 species